UAACACAUGCAAGUCAGGGCAGCACAAGGAGCAAUCUGAGGUGGCGACCGGCGCACGGGUGAGUAACACGUAUGCAACCUGCCUGUAAGCGGGGAAUAACCCGUUGAAAGACGGACUAAUACCGCAUAAUACUAAAUUACUGCAUGGUAAUUUAUUUAAACAUUUAUGGCUUACAGAUGGGCAUGCGCAUGAUUAGCUAGUUGGAGAGGUAACGGCUCCCCAAGGCAACGAUCAUUAGGGGUUCUGAGAGGAAGGUCCCCCACACUGGUACUGAGACACGGACCAGACUCCUACGGGAGGCAGCAGUGAGGAAUAUUGGUCAAUGGACGAGAGUCUGAACCAGCCAAGUCGCGUGCAGGAAGAAUGUCCUAUUGGAUUGUAAACUGCUUUUGCAGGGGAAUAAAGUGCAUCACGUGUGAUGUUUUGUAUGUACUCUGCGAAUAAGGAUCGGCUAACUCCGUGCCAGCAGCAGC
rnacentral:rRNA from 1 species